CCUACGGGAGGCAGCAGUGAGGAAUAUUGGUCAAUGGACGAGAGUCUGAACCAGCCAAGUAGCGUGAAGGAUGACUGCCCUAUGGGUUGUAAACUUCUUUUAUAAAGGAAUAAAACGAGGCACGUGUGCCUUUUUGCAUGUACUUUAUGAAUAAGGAUCGGCUAACUCCGUGCCAGCAGCCGCGGUAAUACGGAGGAGCCGAGCGUUAUCCGGAUUUAUUGGGUUUAAAGGGAGCGUAGAUGGGUUGUUAAGUCAGUUGUGAAAGUUUGCGGCUCAACCGUAAAAUUGCAAUUGAUACUGGCAGUCGUGAGUACAGUUGAGGUAGGCGGAAUUCGUGGUGUAGCGGUGAAAUGCUUAGAUAGCACGAAGAACCCCGAUUGCGAAGGCAGCUUACUAAGCUGUGACUGACAUUGAUGCUCGAAAGUGUGGGUAUCAAACAGGAUUAGAUACCCUAGUAGUC
rnacentral:rRNA from 1 species